UGAAAGCAAAAGGCGGGAUCGUCAAAUGAUGUGGUAUGACAAAUCAUCCUGAACAGUAAUCGCAAGAAGAUAACACGAUAAUCAUAGUACAAGAAACAACAGAUAGUAACCAAACUCAAAGGACAACAAACUACAAGAGUAAUACUAAGACUAAUAGUACGGAAGUAUAAGCGAGACAACACAUGUACUAGAUCACUAAACUUAUAGGUUCACGGAAUUCAGUAGCUUUCAUCGAAGCUCUAUGUUAAAAACUACAGUAAAUAACUACAAACAUUUAACUGUGAACUCGGUUAUUACUGUAUAUUAACUCGAGGUGCAAACUCAUUAACUUACCUAGCUGAUCAUUAGUGGCCUUAGGAGAGAUAACCAAUACCCUACGUCGAAUCGAUAACUUUCUUCCAGCAAAACUAAUCAACUGACACAACAUAUAUCAACCAAACUCAAAGAACAAGUAACUACAAGAGUAAUACUAAGACUAAUAGUACGGAAGUAUAAGCGAGACAACACUCGUACUAGAUCACGAAACUUUGAUAAAAGAAUUUAAAAGAACAUGGAGAAACUUAAACGUUCACGAGAAUUCAGUAGCUUUUGUCCAAACUCUAUACUAAAAACUCCACUAAAUACCUACAAACAUUUAACUCUGAACUUGGUUAUUAUUGUAUAUUAACUAGAGGUGCAAACUCAUUAACUUACCUGGCUGAUCAGUAGUGGCCUUAGGAGAAAGAACCAAUAGUUUUCGACGAAUCGACAACUUUCUUCCAGCAAAACUAAUCAACUGAACCUUUGAAGAUGGAGAAAAACUUGGUUUUUUCCUAAAAGGUGCAUGAAAAAGGUGAGUGUUUGUUGUUACAAUGAGCCAAAAUUUGGUGGCCAUUUGUUGCGGCGACUGCGAUGGUAGUGGUGGUAACUUGUAUAAAGUUGAACAAGUAGACAUACACGUUCUACAUGGCAAUUCACGAGAAAUGUAUUCAACUUACCCCUACUUUGGAGGUAGAGAGACUGUUUCUAAUAGACACUCCGCUCAAGGAAAAAAAAAAGUCCAAAGCAGUUCAAGAAAAGAAAUGCCGGAAAUGAAGAAAUCAUCACAAAAUACUAUAGAAAACAUGACAAAUCAUCCUGAAUAGUAAUCACACCAAGAAGAUAACACGAUAAUCGAAUUACAAGAAACAACAUAUAUCAACCAAACUCAAAGAACAAGUAACUACAAAAGUAAUACUAAGACUAAUAGUAUCGAAGUAUAAGCGAGACAACACUCGUACUGGAUCACCAAACUUCGAUCAAAGAAUUAAACAGAACAAUAUGAAGUAAAAGGGCAGCCUGGUGCACUAAAACUACCGCUAUGCGUGGUAUCCGGGAAGGGCCCCACCACAAGGGUGUAUCGUACGCAGCCUUACCUUGCAUUUCUGCUAGAGGCUGUUUCCAAGGCUUCCGUGACCUCCUGGUCACAUGGCAGCAACUUUACCAGAACAAUAUGGAGUGCUUGAUCAAAAGUGAACUCAGUUAUUAUUGUAUAUCAGUAAGCUACCUGGCCGAUCAGUAGUGGCCUUAGGAGAAAGAACCAAUAGUUCUCGACGAAUCGAUAACUUUCUUCCAGCAAAACCAAUCAACUGAACCUUUGAAGAUGGAGAAAAACUUGGUUUUUUCCUAAAAGGUGCAUGAAAAAGGUGUGUGUUUGUUGUUACAGUGAGCCCAAAUUUGGUGGCCAUUUAUCGCGGCGACUGCGGCGGUGGUGAUGAUGAUGAUGGUGGUAGAGGGAGUGAUCAAGAGGGAGCAAAAGGGGUUGUAGAAAUGAACAAUGCAUUUGUGAAAAAAAUCUGAAAAUUUGUUAGUUUGAUGAGGUUUUGUUAAAGUGAUCAAGAUAAGGUUAUGUGAUGAAUGUGUGGAGGAUAUUGAAAACUUAAAAAAAAAAAAAAUCUGUUUUCUUGGAACCCCACCUAGAAUUUGUUGUGUUUGAUCCGAAUUUUGUUAGUUCGGCCCGGAAAGCUUUACGGUGCGACUCGUUUGUGAUUUUUAAUGGCUGGUAGAGGGAGUGAUCAAGAGGGAGCAAAAGGGGUUGUAGAAAUGAACAAUGCAUUUGUGAAAAAAAUCUGAAAAUUUGUUAGUUUGAUGAGGUUUUGUUAAAGUGAUCAAGAUAAG
rnacentral:lncRNA from 1 species